CUUAGACUUUGAUCCUGGCUCAGGAUGAACGCUGGCGGUAUGCUUAACACAUGCAAGUCGAACGGUGUCUUCGGACAUAGUGGCGGACGGGUGAGUAACGCGUGAGAAUCUAGCUUCAGGUCUGGGACAACCACUGGAAACGGUGGCUAAUACCGGAUGUGCCGGAAGGUGAAAGGCUUGCUGCCUGAAGAUGAGCUCGCGUCCGAUUAGCUAGUAGGUGGGGUAAGAGCCUACCUAGGCGACGAUCGGUAGCUGGUCUGAGAGGAUGACCAGCCACACUGGGACUGAGACACGGCCCAGACUCCUACGGGAGGCAGCAGUGGGGAAUUUUCCGUAAUGGGCGAAAGCCUGACGGAGCAAUACCGCGUGAGGGAGGAAGGCUCUUGGGUUGUAAACCUCUUUUCUCAGGGAAGAACACAAUGACGGUACCUGAGGAAUCAGCAUCGGCUAACUCCGUGCCAGCAGCCGCGGUAAUACGGAGGAUGCAAGCGUUAUCCGGAAUGAUUGGGCGUAAAGCGUCCGCAGGUGGCUGUGUAAGUCUGCUGUCAAAGAGCAAAGCUCAACUUUGUAAAGGCAGUGGAAACUACACGGCUAGAGUGCGUUCGGGGCAGAGGGAAUUCCUGGUGUAGCGGUGAAAUGCGUAGAGAUCAGGAAGAACACCGGUGGCGAAGGCGCUCUGCUAGGCCGCAACUGACACUGAGGGACGAAAGCUAGGGGAGCGAAUGGGAUUAGAUACCCCAGUAGUCCUAGCUGUAAACGAUG
rnacentral:rRNA from 1 species